rnacentral:rRNA from 1 species
GAUGAACGCUGGCGGCGUGCCUAAUACAUGCAAGUCGAGCGAAUGGAUUAAGAGCUUGCUCUUAUGAAGUUAGCGGCGGACGGGUGAGUAACACGUGGGUAACCUGCCCAUAAGACUGGGAUAACUCCGGGAAACCGGGGCUAAUACCGGAUAACAUUUUGAACCGCAUGGUUCGAAAUUGAAAGGCGGCUUCGGCUGUAACUUAUGGAUGGACCCGCGUCGCAUUAGCUAGUGGGUGAGGUAACGGCUCACCAAGGCAACGAUGCGUAGCCGACCUGAGAGGGUGAUCGGCCACACUGGGACUGAGACACGGCCCAGACUCCUACGGGAGGCGGCAGUAGGGAAUCUUCCGCAAUGGACGAAAGUCUGACGGAGCAACGCCGCGUGAGUGGUGAAGGCUUUCGGGUCGUAAAACUCUGUUGUUAGGGAAGAACAAGUGCUAGUUGAAUAAGCUGGCACCUUGACGGUACCUAACCAGAAAGCCACGGCUAACUACGUGCCAGCCGCCGCCGUAA